rnacentral:rRNA from 1 species
AUGAACGCUGGCGGCGUGCUUAACACAUGCAAGUCGAACGGAAAGGCCCAAGCUUGCUUGGGUACUCGAGUGGCGAACGGGUGAGUAACACGUGGGUGAUCUGCCCUGCACUUCGGGAUAAGCCUGGGAAACUGGGUCUAAUACCGGAUAGGACCACAUUUUGGAUGGUGUGGUGGAAAGUUUUUCGGUGUGGGAUGAGCUCGCGGCCUAUCAGCUUGUUGGUGGGGUAAUGGCCUACCAAGGCGUCGACGGGUAGCCGGCCUGAGAGGGUGUACGGCCACAUUGGGACUGAGAUACGGCCCAGACUCCUACGGGAGGCAGCAGUGGGGAAUAUUGCACAAUGGGCGCAAGCCUGAUGCAGCGACGCCGCGUGGGGGAUGACGGCCUUCGGGUUGUAAACUCCUUUCGCUAGGGACGAAGCGCAAGUGACGGUACCUGGAGAAGAAGCACCGGCUAACUACGUGC